CCUACGGGAGGCAGCAGUGAGGAAUAUUGGUCAAUGGACGAGAGUCUGAACCAGCCAAGCAGCGUGAAGGAUGACUGCCCUCUGGGUUGUAAACUUCUUUUAUAUGGGAGUAAAACAGGGUAUGCAUACCCUCUUGUAUGUACCAUAUGAACAAGGAUCGGCACACUACGUGCCAGCAGCCGCGGUAAUACGGAGGAUCCGAGCGUUAUCCGGAUGUAUUGGGUUUAAAGGGAGCGUAGGUGGAUUGUUAUGUCAGUUGGGAACGUUUGCGGCUCAACCGGAGAAUUGCAGUUGAAACUGGCAGUCUUGAGUGCAGUAGAGGUGGGCGGAAUUCGUGGUGUAGCGGUGAAAUGCGUAGAUAUCACGAAGAACUCCGAUGGCGAAGGCAGCUAACUGGACUGCAACUGACGCUGAUGCUCGAAAGUGUGGGUAGCAAACAGGAUUAGAUACCCUAGUAGUC
rnacentral:rRNA from 1 species